UAACGACUUGUGUGGCUGCGGCGGAAU
rnacentral:piRNA from 1 species